rnacentral:siRNA from 1 species
GAGGUGUUAUGAGUGUCAACGGCU